rnacentral:misc_RNA from 1 species
CUCCACUGAACGCUAACCAAACACAAAACCCCAAACGUCAUAACUUUUAUUCAAUUUCCGAUUCUUCGUUCAUAUCGAAAUCUCUCUGAUCUUUUGACCAUGGCCGAAACAAACCCUAAGCCUCAACAACCCGCCGAGAUGGCUCAGAUUGAUGGAGAGAAAUUGAAGUAUUUGGAAUUCUUGCAAGUGGCGAUGAUUCAUGCGGCGCUAUGUGUGGUGAAGGUGUAUGGCUACGCUAAAGAGAAUUCUGGUCCAUUGAAGCCUGGUGUUCAGACUGUUGAAGGCACCGUUAAGACCGUGGUUGGCCCUGUUUAUGAUAAAUAUCAUGAUGUUCCCGUCGAAGUCCUCAAGUUUGUUGACCGCAAGGUUGAUCAGUCUGUUCGUACGAUUGAAACUCGUGUCCCCCCUAUGGUCAAGCAAGCUCCUGCAGCUGCUCGCUCUGUUGCAGCUGAUGUCAAAAGUGCUGGUGUGAUGGGAGCUGCAUCAGGACUUGCUAAAACAGUCUAUGCC